rnacentral:rRNA from 1 species
AUUGAACGCUGGCGGCAGGCCUAACACAUGCAAGUCGAACGAGUGGCGGACGGGUGAGUAAUGUCUGGGAAACUGCCUGAUGGAGGGGGAUAACUACUGGAAACGGUAGCUAAUACCGCAUACAAUCGGUUGUGCCCAGAUGGGAUUAGCUAGUAGGUGUGGUAAAGGCUCACAUAGGCGACGAUCCCUAGCUGGUCUGAGAGGAUGACCAGCCAAACUGGAACUGAGCCACGGUCCAGAGUCCUACGGGAGGCAGCAGUGGGGAAUAUUGCACAAUGGGCGCAAGCCGGAUGCAGCCAUGCCGCGUGUAUGAAGAAGGCCUUCGGGUUGUAAAGUACUUUCAGCGGGGAGGCGUUACUCGCAGAAGAAGCACCGGAUAACUCCGUGCCAGCAGCCGCGGUAAUAC